GCCUCGCCUGAGGUUGGAAGAAAACACAGGAAUAAGACAAAGGGGAGUUAACUUUUUGUUAAAUUUUAAAACACAGCUAAAACUGAAGUGACAGUUUCUGUUGCCUCACGUGCUGACACUUAAAAAAGGGUCCACAGCCAUAUGUGAAAAUUACAGUAAUUAGUCAAAAUUACAGCGUUUUCAAAUAGAAGGUGACUGUUUUAUUGCAUCUUUAAACAGUGAGACCACAAACUACUUUAUGACAGUGUUUUACUGUACAGGCUGUGUUCCAGGUCAAACUUCAUUUUUGUUGACAUACAGUUUGCUGAGAGAGGCACAAACCUCUGCCAUGAGCAGAAAUAUCUGGUUAUGGAUGUUUUGGAAGCAAUGGUUGUGGAUGGGUUCUGCAUGUGUGUGUGUGUGUUGUGAACUAUUUCUCACAGUGUCUGUCUCCCUCUGGUACAGAGGACCUACAGAGUUGUCAGAGAGUGGGAGUACAAGAAAAAAAGAAUCAGGAAAACUACCACUGGCUCCAUCUCAGCACUGGGACUUUCCACUGCUUCGGCCUCAUGUAUCUGUCUGAAAUUUUCCCCAAACAAAACACAAAGCCUCGACUAAAGCACACAAGUCCAGCUUUCUCUAACAAUACUCAUAUUAUAACUAAAAGCAUGCCCAUAACAACAAUAGUAGCUAAUAUUAAUGGCAAAGUCAAACAGAAUAUACAUCAGUGCUGAGUAGCAGCACAGUAGAGACCUAAUUAUUGUUAUUAGUUUAAAUGUGAUUUUUCUGCUAGGGUUCUGAAAUGCAUUACUUACAGCAAAAUACUAAAAAGCAAAUAAUCGUCUGUGCUUCACUUGUUUUUGUUCAUACUGCAGAUGUAUAUUUAAAGUGGUUUUUUUCAUUAGAUGUAAAAAACAAACCAAAAAACACACAGUUGGUACCACCUAUUUACUACAAAAUGCAUCUGAGCUGGCUCAAAAGCAGAGGAAGUUACGUGUGUGUAUGUAUGUCCAGCUCUGUAUUGCAGGGUUAACAAUGAUGUCAUAAAAUCGGGCAACACACUAGUUUGAGGUGAUCCGAAAAUAAUUAGAUCAUUAAGUCAUUCAGAGGGCAGUAGUGCAUAAACAUGCGCACAGACAAGCUUGGUAAUGUCAUAAAAUGUGUGCUGCUCCAUUCACCCAAACACCCCUAUGUGCCUUUAGUUUGGGCAUGGCUGGUGGUUCUUGUCUUGCCUGUCCCUCUAGCAUGUUCCUGCUUGCCCCACUGUGUGCCAUGGCAACAGGGGUGACAUCAUUGUUUUCAGCAGGACAGAGGGGUGGCAAUAAAAGAAGAGAGAAGGUGACACCACACUGUCCAAUCAGGAUCUGGGACACAUAACUGCUUAUCAGAGUUUAUUAGGUUCACAUGAUCAAAGCCUAUUUGUCUUGAAAGAACUUCAAACAGCUUGGAGUCAGGAUGAGAUUGGAUUACAAAUGGAGGAGGACUAUAAAGAUGAAGGCAAGAAGAAGAAAGAAUAGAUGGUCAAGAUUAAUGUUUCUAACAACCAAAUUGUCAAGUUAAAAUGCAAUAAUCACAAUUAAUAUGAUGCUUACAAUUACGUUAUAAUUUCUGUUUGUCAUUUUGACAGAGUUAUAAUGUAGGGAACACAAAGGAAGUGCACUGAAGACGUCAUAGUGGCGCAAUCCCUCUAAUUGAAAUAUAUCUGAAGGCCUCAGACUGUGAUGUGUCUCAUGAUAUACAGUAUAUUUAAAAAGUAGGAUUUUAGAAAUGCAACAUAUCAACACACAUGAUACAGGUGUCCACUGCCCAGGCACAUAUGUGAGACUACUGGCAGCAUGGGACAUCUACACUUGCUAAUAAACACUGAUGAUGACAGGCGUGUGAGCACUUUAGAGCAGAAAUACAGCCUUUGGGACGGUAUAUCUGAUUAUGUUUGUCAGGAUGAGUUUUGCUGCUCGUGCAUAAAACACCAAGUCAGCACAACCACAAUAUCACACAGCUCCCCCUGCCCCUUCUGAGCUCAGCGUGUUUGAACAUGAAGGCCUUUUUUUUCUUCAACACCCUUUACUGAUUGGCCCUUGUCCCUGUUAUUAUAAUCUCUGUUUUCUUAUCAUGAGGCAUAUGGAGUCAAAUUGUAGCUCAGUCAGCAAAAAACAACACACACACACACACACACACACACACACACACACACACACACAAAAUCCUGAAAAGAAAUAUAGAGGUGCUAAUCCUACUGAGAUGAAUCUAGAGACACUCAUUCAGUCCCACAUGUUUGAGUGAAAGCAGUGUUAUCUUCCAGUUCAAUGCAAGAUAUGGGGUGGUGCUAGUAAAUAUCAUGGUUUCUUAGUCUUUUGAGUCUAACUUGCAGGACAAACACUAUAGACUCUUAAAUAAGAUCCAUCUGAAUUCAUUUGUGUCACACUCAUGGUGAGUAUUUUUCUUAUGCAGCCUAUUGGAAUUUUUUUUUUACAUUUAACUUCCAACCCAGAAGAUAUUUCAAGUGUUAAAAAAAAAACACUAAAGAGCACCCACCACCAUACCACUACCCCUUCACUUCUUCUGUAAUUAUCUUCAAUGAGAGACAGGAUGAAACCUGAGAAAGGUGAA